ensembl:piRNA 21ur-4914 ncRNA
UAGUCUCCAGGCGUUUGUUUA